CCCACGAUUCCACCGCGCUCUGACUUCGGCUGCAUUUGCCAGCAUGGUGGGGCUCAGCUUCUCCCACUCUGUUUCCCAGGCUCCACAGACUAAUCCUUCCUUUGGCUGGCUCUGCUGCUGCUAUGGCAAUAUUUUCUCCCCCAUCGUGGUAAUCACGCAAUGGUCUCUGAGAACAGCAGGAGAAGCAGUGCUUGGUAGAUGCAUAAAAGCAGCUGGGUUUGGUGUCAGCUUUUAAAGCUUUCCAGGAGGAGCGUGUGGGGAGCACAGAAACCUGGAGUGUGGGGAUGUGUCCCAGCACAUGAGGUGACACUGGGUGACACCAGACCGGCACGUGCUUCACUUGUGAGCUCUCGUGUGAAGUACACAGCAUGCUGAUCCUGAUUUAUGUUCAUUUUUACAGGUAUGCAAUGAUAAUUCCCACCUUCCAGAAACACAAAACAGUUUGGAAAACAUUUAUAGCAGGUUGCUGGUGAGCUGGGUGCUUGCAAGCCUGAGCUUGCCCAGUGUCCAUGGCUGAUGUGACUGCAAAGGUGCAGAUUUCCUGUGCAAAUCUUUAAGUAAACGUGGCACUGCUGGCAGGCAGGUUUGGCUGUCAACCUCCAGGGCAGCCAUGCAGGACCUGCUGCUGGGUGCCAGCUCUGUGAGAUAGCCCAUCUGGCCACAGUGGGAGCAUUGGGGGACCCAAUGUCCUCUCCCUGGUCUGACGUGCUUCACUGCGGGCUCUGCGUGGAAUGGGCACUGCUGCUGAGAACUUCCCAGGCACAAGAGACCCUGGUGAUACAAGAAAGGUCAUCCAGGAACCUCAACAGUGUUAUCCUCAAAUGGAAAUGUCAUUUUUUAUUAUUCAGAGCUGAUAGAGUGCUCAGAAUGAAGGCAGCUGAUGGCAGGGGGAGCUUCAGCUUGGACAACUCAGCCCCAGCUCCCAGUCCUCUCCUGCACACGAUGGGCUCAGAGCUCUCAGAGCCACCAUCCUGCCUGGCCGCCCUGCCCACGCCAGCCAUGGGCCCUGCUCUGGCCAUGGCACUGCAGCCUCGGAAAGGAAGUUACUGGUGUUCCCGACCGGCGCUGGAAUGCCACUUCCAUCUCCAUGAAUGCAAAUGAACGGGGUUUGAUCCAAAUUGCAUUUCCUCUCCUAGUCUGGAGUAUGACGGCACAUUAA